UUGUAAUUUGGAGAAGGUGUUUCGGAAGAGAUGAUGGUCCAAGUCCCUUGGAACAGGGCGUCGCAGAGGGUGAGAAUCCCGUAUGUGACCAAUCAUCGAUUCCAUGUGAAACCCUUUCGACGAGUCGAGUUGUUUGGGAAUGCAGCUCUAAAUGGGUGGUAAAUUUCAUCUAAAGCUAAAUACCUGCCAGAGACCGAUAGCGCACAAGUAGAGUGAUCGAAAGAUGAAAAGCACUUUGAAAAGAGAGUCAAACAGUACGUGAAAUUGUUGAAAGGGAAGCGCUUGCAAUCAGACUCGUUUGCAGAAGUUCAGCCUUCUUUCGAGAUGGUGUAUUCUUCUGUCAACGGGCCAGCAUCAGUUUCGGCGGUUGGAUAAAGACUUUGAGAACGUAUCUCUCCUCGGAGAGUGUUAUAGCUCGGAGUGUAAUGCAGCAGCUGAGACUGAGGUCCGCGCUUUUG
rnacentral:rRNA from 1 species